AUGAUGUGGAUAAACCAGACCAAUUAGAGUCUUUGGUUGGACACCGUUAUUGGUUUGGCUCAGGAAGUAUAAUCAUAAUUACUACUAGAGAUGUACAUUUGCUUGUUCAGAAUGAUGUAGAUGAAGUGUAUAAAAUGGAGGAAUUAAAUCAUGACGACGCUUUUAAACUUUUUAGUUUGAAAGCGUUUAGGAGUGGCCAUCCUGUGGAAGGUUUUGUAGAGCUGUCCCAAGAAUUUGUGAGAUAUUCUCAAGGACUUCCAUUGGCCCUUGAAGUUCUUGGUAGCUUUUUGAAAGGUAGAAGUGUAGAUCAAUGGAUGAGUGCAUUGGGAAGGCUAAAAGAACAUUCUG
rnacentral:misc_RNA from 1 species